AGUCUCGCUCUGCUGCCCACGCUGGAGUGCAGUGGUGCAAUCUCAGCUCACUGCAACCUCUGCUAUCCGGGUUCAAGUGGUUCUCGUGCCUCAGCCACUUUCCUGAGGCCUCCCUAAAAGCCGAGCAGAUGCCAGCACCAUGCUUCCUGUAAAGCCUGCAGAACCUCUUUCCCAGGGAACUCCGAUGAAGUGUUCCACCAAAAUGAGCAAGUGAACCAAGAAGAGGAUGACAUUAGAUCCAGGAGAUACAACAGAGGAGAUAAUCUCCAGGAUGCCUGUGAAGAAAGAUCCCUGGAUCCCAGGAUGAUUAUAGGACAAGUUGUUCAUAAUCCAGCAGGCCAGAAGACUUCCAGGGAAACUCAUUCAAGAAGGUGAAAAUGAUGGAUGACUCCUCCAAGAUGAAAAUGGACCAGCCGCAGUGGCUCACGCCUGUAAUACCAGCACUUUGGGAGGCUGAGGCAGGCGGAUCACUUGAGGUCAGGAGUUUGAAACUAGCCCGGCCAACGUGGCAAAACUCCAUCUCUAUUAAAAAUACAAAAAUUAGCCAGGCAUAGUGGUGCAUGCCUGUAGUCCCAGCUACUUGGGAUGCUGAGGCAGGAAGAAUUGCUUGAACCUGGGAGGCAGAGUCUGCAGUGAGCCGAGAUCAUGCCACUGCACUCCAGCCUGGGUGACAGAGCCAGACUCCGUCUCAAAAAAAAAAGAAAAAGAAAAAAAAAAUGAUGACUCUUUCAAGAAAUGAAAAUGAUGAGAUAUCUGGUAGGUCUGAAUGACUUAAGAGGAGAUUUAAACAUUUGGGAUAAUUUGAAGAUGAGCUGGUGUUCGUCUUCAUUUAUUUCAUUUAAAUAAAUAAAUAAAAUUAUUAAUACAUGAAUUUUAUCUCAAGAAACAAAAAUAAGCAAUGUACAUAAAAAUUAAGCAGAUGGCUGGCCGGGCGCGGUGGCUCACGCCUGUAAUCAGAGCACUUUGGGAGGCUGAGGCGGGUGGAUCACGAGGUCAGGAGAUGGAGACCAUCCUGGCUAACACGGUGAAACCCCGUCUCUACUAAAAAAAUAAAUAAAUAAUAAAUUAGCCGGGCGUGAUGGCAGGUGCCUGUAGUCCCAGCUACUCGGGAGGCUGAGGCAGGAGAAUGGCAUGAACCCAGGAGGCGGAGGUUGCAGUGAGUGAGAUCACGCCAUUGCACUCCAGCCUGGGCAACAAAGUGAGACUCCAUCUCAAAAAAAAAAAAAAAAAAAAAUUAAGCAGAUGGCUAUAAUUUUUUUAAAAAUAGAAAAGUGUUGAUGAGAAAUGGGAAACCUCAUACAUUGUUGGUCAAACUGUAUGCUUCCAUUUAGAGGAAAUAGUCAGAACAAAUAAAUCCAUAGACACCAAUUAGGUUGGUGUAUCCCAGGGGCUGGGCAUGGAGUGGGGUGGAGAGAGAAGGAGGGCCUGCUUAAUGGAUACAGAGUUUUCUUUGGGGGCGAUGAAAGUGUUUUGGAACUAGAUAGAGGGGGUGGUUGCGCAACAUUGUGAAUGUACUAUAAUAAAUGCCACAGAAUUGUGUACUCU